AUUGAACGCUGGCGGCAGGCCUAACACAUGCAAGUCGAACGGUAACAGGAAGCAGCUUGCUGCUUCGCUGACGAGUGGCGGACGGGUGAGUCAUGUCUGGGAAACUGCCUGAUGGAGGGGGAUAACUACUGGAAACGGUAGCUAAUACCGCAUAACGUCGCAAGCCCAAAGAGGGGGACCUUAGGGCCUCUUGCCAUCGGAUGUGCCCAGAUGGGAUUAGCUAGUAGGUGGGGUAACGGCUCACCUAGGCGACGAUCACUAGCUGGUCUGAGAGGAUGACCAGCCACACUGGAACUGAGACACGGUCCAGACUCCUACGGGAGGCAGCAGUGGGGAAUAUUGCACAAUGGGCGCAAGCCUGAUGCAGCCAUGCCGCGUGUAUGAAGAAGGCCUUCGGGUUGUAAAGUACUUUCAGCGGGGAGGAAGGGAGUAAAGUUAAUACCUUUGCUCAUUGACGUUACCCGCAGAAGAAGCACCGGCUAACUCCGUG
rnacentral:rRNA from 1 species